GAUUCCCCUAGUAACUGCGAGUGAAGAGGGAAAAGCUCAAAUUUAAAAUCUGGCGGCCUUUGGUCGUCCGAGUUGUAAUCUAGAGAAGUGUUACCCGCGCCGGACCGUGUAUAAGUCUCCUGGAAUGGAGCGUCAUAGAGGGUGAGAAUCCCUGCUUCGACACGGAUCCCCGGGGCAUUGUGGUGCGCUCUCAAAGAGUCGAGUUGUUUGGGAAUGCAGCUCAAAAUGGGUGGUAAAUUCCAUCUAAAGCUAAAUAUUGGCGAGAGACCGAUAGCGAACAAGUACCGUGAGGGAAAGAUGAAAAGAACUUUGGAAAGAGAGUUAAACAGUACGUGAAAUUGCUGAAAGGGAAACGCUUGAAGUCAGUCGCGUCGUCUGGAAAUCAACCUAGCUCUUGCUGGGCGUACUUUCCAGUUGACGGGCCAGCAUCAGUUUUGACCGGUGGAAAAAGUUCAGGGGAAUGUGGCACUCCGGGUGUGUUAUAGCCCUUGUUCGUAUACAUCGGUUGGGACUGAGGAACUCAGCACGCCGCAAGGUCGGGUCUUCGGACUACGUUCGUGCUUAGGAUGCUGGCAUAAUGGCUUUAAUCGACCCGUCUUGAAACACGGACCAAGGAGUCUAACAUGCUUGCGAGUGUUUGGGUGGAAAACCCGAGCGCGCAAUGAAAGUGAAAGUUGAGAUCCCUGUCGUGGGGAGCAUCGACGCCCGGACCAGACGUUCUCUGACGGAUCCGAGGUAGAGCACGUAUGUUGGGACCCGAAAGAUGGUGAACUAUGCCUGAAUAGGGUGAAGCCAGAGGAAACUCUGGUGGAGGCUCGUAGC
rnacentral:rRNA from 1 species